rnacentral:rRNA from 2 species
CCUCAAAGACGAUGAGGUAGAUAGGUUCGGGGUGGAAGCGUGGCGACACGUGCAGCUGACGAAUACUAAUCGAUCGAGGACUUAACCAA